GUAGGUGGCAAGCGUUGUCCGGGAAUUAUUGGGGCGUAAAGCGCGCGCAGGCGGCUCUUUAAGUCUGAUGUGAAAGCCCACGGGCUCAACCGUGAGGGUCAUUGGAAACUGGAGAACUUGAGUACAGAAGAGGAAAGCGGAAUUCCACGUGUAGCGGUGAAAUGCGUAGAGAUGUGGAGGAACACCAGUGGCGAAGGCGGCUUUCUGGUCUGUAACUGACGCUGAGGCGCGAAAGCGUGGGGAGCAAACAGGAUUAGAUACCCUGGUAGUCCACGCCGUAAACGAUGAGUGCUAAGUGUUAGGGGGUUUCCGCCCCUUAGUGCUGCAGCUAACGCAUUAAGCACUCCGCCUGGGGAGUACGGCCGCAAAGGCUGA
rnacentral:rRNA from 1 species